UACGUAGGGGGCAAGCGUUGUUCGGAAUUAUUGGGCGUAAAGGGCGCGUAGGCGGUGCGGUAAGUCACCUGUGAAAACUCUGGGCUCAACUCAGAGCCUGCAGGCGAAACUGCCGUGCUUGAGUGUGGGAGAGGUGCGUGGAAUUCCCGGUGUAGCGGUGAAAUGCGUAGAUAUCAAGAGGAACACCUGAGGCGAAGGCGGGUUGCUUGUCUGACACUGACGCUGAGGCGCGAAAGCCAGGGGAGCAAACGGG
rnacentral:rRNA from 1 species